rnacentral:rRNA from 1 species
GGCGUCUUUCAGGCGUCCGAGUUGUAAUCUAUAGAGGCGUUUUCCGCGCCGGACCGCGUCCAAGUCUCUUGGAAUAGAGUAUCAAAGAGGGUGACAAUCCCGUACUUGACGCGACAACCGGUGCUCUGUGAUACGUUCUCAAUGAGUCGAGUUGUUUGGGAAUGCAGCUCUAAAUGGGUGGUAAAUUCCAUCUAAGGCUAAAUAUUGGCGAGAGACCGAUAGCGAACAAGUACCGUGAGGGAAAGAUGAAAAGCACUUUGGAAAGAGAGUUAAACAGCACGUGAAAUUGUUAAAAGGGAAACGAUUGAAGUCAGUCGUGUGAAAGGUAUUCAGCCGUCUCUGGCGGUGUAUUUGCCUUUCACGGGUCAACAUCAUUUUGAUCCGGUAGAAAAAGGCAGGAGGAAGGUGGCACCCUCGG